rnacentral:sRNA from 1 species
GCAAAGAGUAUCCGGAUCUCGAAAUGAUGCAGAUGCUUGGACGGGCAGGAAGACCUCAGUUCGACGACAGUGCAGUUGCUGUUAUUUUAACAAGGAAGGAAAGGUUAGAUUACUAUGAGAAGCUUGUUGCUGGAACGGAGCCUCUAGAAAGCUGCUUACAUCUAAAGCUGAUCGAUCAUCUGAAUUCGGAAAUUGGCCUUGGAACAGUUACGGAUGUAGAGUCUGCUACGAGAUGGCUUGCAGGGACGUUUUUCUUCAUUCGUCUCCGGAAGAACCCUGCUCACUAUAAGUUGAAAGAGGGCGCAAAUAGGUCAGACGAAGAGGAGAUGCUGAAGGAAAUAUGCGAGGAGAAUAUCAAGCGGCUGCAAGAAUGUUCACUGAUCACUUCGGAGGAACCUUUGAGAUCGACAGAAUUUGGAGACGCGAUGGCCAGGUAUUACAUCAAGUUCGAAACCAUGAGGUUAUUCCUCUCCUUGCCACCCAAGGCGAAGAUGUCUGAAAUUCUCUCUGUCAUCGCGCAGGCCAAUGAGUUUAGCGAGAUUCGAUUAAAAGCUGGAGAAAAGUCGUUAUACAAGGAGCUAAAUAAGGGAAACGGCAUCAAGUUCCCUAUUAAAAUUGACAUUGCCCUCCCCGCGCAUAAAGUAUCUCUACUUAUUCAGUCCGAGCUGGGCGGCGUCGAAAUCCCCACUGGCGACCAGUAUCAAAAGCACAAGUUAUCGUUUCAGCAAGACAAGGGAUUGGUAUUCUCCCACGCAAACCGGCUUAUUCGAUGCAUAACUGAUUGCCAACUAUCCCUUCAAGACUCGGUGAGCACGAGACAUGCCCUUGAGCUUGCUCGGGGUAUUGGCGCCAGGGUCUGGGACAACUCCGCAUUGCAAAUGAAAC